rnacentral:rRNA from 1 species
GACGAACGCUGGCGGCGUGCUUAACACAUGCAAGUCGAACGGAAAGGCCCUGCUUUUGUGGGGUGCUCGAGUGGCGAACGGGUGAGUAACACGUGAGUAACCUGCCCUUGACUUUGGGAUAACUUCAGGAAACUGGGGCUAAUACCGGAUAGGAGCUCCUGCUGCAUGGUGGGGGUUGGAAAGUUUCGGCGGUUGGGGAUGGACUCGCGGCUUAUCAGCUUGUUGGUGGGGUAGUGGCUUACCAAGGCUUUGACGGGUAGCCGGCCUGAGAGGGUGACCGGCCACAUUGGGACUGAGAUACGGCCCAGACUCCUACGGGAGGCAGCAGUGGGAAUAUUGCACAAUGGGCGGAAGCCUGAUGCAGCAACGCCGCGUGCGGGAUGACGGCCUUCGGGUUGUAAACCGCUUUCGCCUGUGGCGAAGCGUGAGUGACGGUAAUGGGUAAAGAAGCACCGGCUAACUACGUG